GAAAAGGACCCUGAAGAAGAAAUCCAAAUACCUGGAAUCCUGUCUCUACCCUAGCAUUAAAGAAACAGCUCUUUAUUACUACUGAGCAACUUAAUCUCCUAUUAUCUUGGAUUUGUCCUUAUUUCUCUGCAUUCAGUUUCUUCUUCUCUACCUCUAAAGUACUAUGUCUUCACCUAUGCUCUCCAUACAGCAGUGACAGAAGGGGAAUUAAAGAGUUGGGUUUCCUCCCUCUCCCUCUCCCCACGGUCUCCCUCUCCCUCUCUUUCUACGGUCUCCCUCUGAUGCCUAGCGGAAGCUGGACUGUACUGCUGCCAUCUCGGCUCACUGCAACCUCCCUGUCUGAUUCUCCUGCCUCAGCCUGCCCAGUGCCUGUGAUUGCAGGCGCGCGCUGCCACGCCUGACUGGUUUUCAUAUUUUUUUGGUGGAGACGGGGUUUCGCUGUGUUGGCCGGGCUGGUCUCCAGCUCCUAACCGCGAGUGAUCUGCCAGCCUCGGCCUCCCGAGGUGCCGGGAUUGCAGACAGAGUCUCAUUCACUCAGUGCUCAAUGGUGCCCAGGCUGGAGUGCAGUGGCGUGAUCUCGGCUAGCUACAACCUCCACCUCCCAGCCGCCUGCCUUGGCCUCCCAAAGUGCCAAGAUUGCAGCCUCUGCCCGGACGCCACCCCAUCUGGGAAGUGAGGAGUGUCUCUGCCUGGCCGCCCAUCAUCUGGGAUGUGAGGAGCCCCUCUGCCCGACUGCCCAGUCUGGGAAGUGAAGAGCACCUCUUCCCGGCCGCCAUCCCAUCUAGGAAGUGAGGAGCGUCUCUGCCCGGCCGCCCAUCGUCUGAGAUGUGGGGAGCGCCUCUGCCCCGCCGCCCCGUCUGGGAUGUGAGGAGCGCCUCUGCCGGGCCGCGACCCCAUCUGGGAGAUGAGGAGCGUCUCUGCCCGGCCGCCCCAUCUGAGAAGUGAGGAGCCCCUCUGCCUGGCAGCCGCCCUGUCUGAGAAGUGAGGAGCCCCUCUGCCCGGCAGCCGACCCGUCUGAGAAGUGAGGAGCCUCUCCGCCUGGCAGCCGCCCCGUCUGAGAAGUGAGGAGCCCCUCCGCCCGGCAGCUGCCCUGUCUGGCCAUAGACUCUCCAACUCCUGCAACUGUCUGGAAUUUCUUCUCUCUCCAAUCCAUCUCUAGUAUUGAUGACAUAGUCUGGAACGGAACUAGCAAUAUCUCCAUGGAAUACCUGUAAUGAGCAGAUUUAACCUAAGAUGAGAAAAUAUUUCCACUGAAGUUUGAAAUUUAAGUACGUGUUAGCCAGGUAAAGUAGGGGGAAAAGUAUUUCAAGCAGAGGUUAAAGUCCCUGUGUUAAGGCUGUGAGGCCCAAGGGAAGGAGCUUUCCCUUUAAAAAGGACUGAAAGAAAGCAAAUGUGGUUUAAGCAUGGUUAGGGAGGAAAGAGGCCUGAAGGGGAGGGAAUCCUGGAGUGGGAUACAGAGGUAGGCAGGCAGAGUACAGAACAUUAGGGAUUUAUGGACUCAAGAUUUAUAUUCUCUGACACCAAAUUAGGAAAAAAAGAGGUCUCUAUUUUUGGCCAAGUUGUGUGUGUGUGUGUGUGUGUGUGUGUGUGUGUGUGUGUUUUAAACAGCUUUAUUGAGGUAUAAUUGUUUAUUACAAGGUGUUUAAGUAGGCUGGGCACGGUGGCUCACAUCUGUAAUCCCAGCACUUUGGGAGGCCAAGGCAGGUGGACCACCUGAGGUCAGUAGUUCCAGACCAGCCUGGCCAACAUGGUGAAACCCCAUCUCUACUAAAAAUACAAAAAUUAGCUGAGCAUGGUGCCAGGCACCUGUAAUCCCAGCGACUCAGGAGGCUGAGGCAGGAGAAUUGCUUGAACCUGGGAGGGGGAGGUUGCAAUGAGCCAAGAUCGUGCCACUGCACUCCAGCCUGAACAACAGAGCAAGACUCCAUCUCAAAAACAAAAACAAAAACAGAAAACAACAAGGUGUUUAAGCAAAUGUGGCAGCACCACAGGAUGGGGGGGGCAACAUAAACCCCUAAUUUACCUCCAUUUAAAAAAGGCUGAUAUGCAAAUUGAUAUCAAUCUUCCAUGAAGUGUAAAUAAAGGCAUCUUUAAAGAUCACAUUUUCAUUGACCUGUAACAUCAGUUUGUAUCACAUAAUGCUAACUUAGUUCCUGUCCCACCCCCACCUUUUACCUUCUAAGAACCUCCUAUAUCGAAAUCCUAUCUACUACAGAGUUUUGUGAUGCUAUUUGUCCAUUAGAAAGAUUCUUGGAACUGCUAAGUGGAGAAAGGAUUAUAGGAUGCAAGGUUGAUGUGGAUAGCUCAGUAGAAGGUUUUUGAAAAAGCAACAGUAGAGAUCAUGGCAGCUUGGACGCAGGACCUGGGCAGUGAAGAUGAUGAGCACAGCUCCAGGAAAUAUUUAGGAGAUUGACUGUAUACUUGAUGGUGGUUGAACCUGGGGCUAAGGGAGGGGUAGGAGUCAUAGGCAAUCAGGGUUUCUGGUUGGGACAAGUGGAUAGGUGGCAGUGCUACUGAUAAGAAAGGGGAUGUUAAGAGGAAGAGCAAAUUUACUGAUAGCAUGAUUUAAAUUUUGUUAGUCCACCUGAUCGAAAUGGUAAAUUAGUAGAGGUCUGCAAUCAGGAGAUAGAAACAAAUCUGGAGGUCACUGGCUGAUAGCUGCUAACUGAAGCUACAGGAGAGGAUGAAAUAGUCCAAGAAUAUUGUGACAUGAGAAAAGAAUGUUUAGGACUGAACUUUGAAGAACACUAGUAUGUACAGAUUAGGUAAAGGAAGAGAAGCCCACAAAAACAUUGAGGAGGAACAGCAUGAAGAUGGAAAGCAAGUUAACUGUGUCCUAAAUGCCUAGAGGUUUUCUUUUUCUUUUUUUUUUUUUUGAGACAGAGUCUCACUCUGUCACGCAGGCUGGAGUGCAGUGGUGCAAUCUGGGUUCACUACAAGCUCCGCCUCCCAGGUUCACGCCAUUCUCCUGCCUCAGCUUCCUGAGUAGCUGGGACUACAGGCGCCCACCACCACGCCAGGCUAAUUUUUUGUAUUUUUAGUAGAGAUGGGGUUUCACCGUCUUAGCCAGGAUGGUCUCGAUCUCCUGACCUUGUGAUCCGCCCGCCUCGGCCUCCCAAAGUGCUGGGAUUACAGGCAUGAGCCACCGCGCCCAGCCUGAGGUUUUCAAUUUUAGUGUCACUUAACAAUGUCACAUAUUGAGAAAAUUUAUUUGUUGCUUCCCUCUUCCCUCUCCCCUCUCCCCUCUCCCCACGGUCUCCCUCUCUUUCCACGGUCUCCCUCUGAUGCCGAGCCGAAGCUGGACUGUACUGCUGCCAUCUCGGCUCACUGCAACCUCCCUGCCUGAUUCUCCUGCCUCAGCCUGCCGAGUGCCUGCGAUUGCAGGAGCGCGCCGCCACGCCUGACUGGUUUUCGUAUUUUUUUGGUGGAGAAGGGGUUUCGCUGUGUUGGCCGGGCUGGUCUCCAGCUCCUAACCGCGAGUGAUCUGCCAGCCUCGGCCUCCCGAGGUGCCGGGAUUGCAGACGGAGUCUGGUUCACUCAGUGCUCAAUGGUGCCCAGGCUGGAGUGCAGUGGCGUGAUCUCGGCUCGCUACAACCUCCACCUCCCAGCCGCCUGCCUUGGCCUCCCAAAGUGCCGAGAUUGCAGCCUCUGCCUCGCCACCACCCCGUUUGGGAAGUGAGGAGCGUCUCUGCCUGGCCACCCAUCGUCUGGGACGUGAGGAGCCCCUCUGCCUGGCUGCCCAGUCUGGAAAGUGAGGAGCGUCUCUGCCCGGCCGCCAUCCCAUCUAGGAAGUGAGGAGCGCCUCUUCCCGGCCUCCCAUCGUCUGAGAUGUGGGGAGCGCCUCUGCCCCGCUGCCCCGUCUGGGAUGUGAGGAGCGCCUCUACCCGGCCGCGACCCCGUCUGGGAGGUGAGGAGCGUCUCUGCCCGGCUGCCCCGUCUGAGAAGUGAGGAGUCCCUCCGCCCGGCAGCUGCCCCGUCUGAGAAGUGAGGAGCCCCUCCGUCCGGCAGCCGCCCCGUCUGGGAAGUGAGGAGCCCCUCCGCCCGGCAGCCACCCCGUCUGGGAGGGAGGUGGGGGUCAGCCCCCCACCCGGCCAGCCGCCCCGCCCGGGAGGUGAGGGGCGCCUCUGCCCGGCUGCCCCUACUGGGAAGUGAGGAGCCCCUCUGCCCAGCCAGCCGCCCCGUCCGGGAGGGAGGUGGGGGGGUCAGCCCCCCGCCCGGCCAGCUGCCCCGUCCGGGAGGUGAGGGGCGCCUCUGCCCGGCCGCCCCUACUGGGAAGUGAGGAGCCCCUCUACCCGGCCACCACCCCGUCUGGGAGGUGUAUCGAACAGCUCAUUGAGAACAGGCCAUGAUGACAAUGGCGGUUUUGUGGAAUACAAAGGGGGGAAAGGUGGGGAAAAGAUUGAGAAAUCGGAUGGUUGCCGCGUCUGUGUAGAAAGAGGUAGACAUGGGAGACUUUUCAUUUUGUUCUGUACUAAGAAAAAUUCUUAUCCUGUUGAUCUGUGACCUUACCCCCAACCCUGUGCUCUCUGAAACAUGUGCUGUGUCCACUCAGAGUUAAAUGGAUUAAGGGCGGUGCAAGAUGUGCUUUGUUAAACAGAUGCUUGAAGGCAGCAUGCUCGUUAAGAGUCAUCACCACUCCCUAACCUCAAGGACCCAGGGACACAAACAUUGCGGAAGGCCGCAGGGUCCUCUGCCUAGGAAAGCCAUAGACCUUUGUUCACUUGUUUAUCUGCUGACCUUCCCUCCACUAUUGUCCUAUGACCCUGCCAAAUCCCCCUCUGCGAGAAACACCCAAGAAUGAUCAAUAAAAAAUAAAAAAAUAAUAAAAAAAAAAGAAAAAAAAGAAAAAAACAAUGUCACAUAUUGCCACAGGAUAAGCUAAGGAUGAAAUCUCUCCAGGACUUAGUGUCAUAGAGGUCAUUGGUGACUCUAGUGAGGGCCACUGUAUAUAGUGGGGGCAGGAGCCAUAGUGGGUUUUAAGCUCAAAUAGGAGGUAAGGACAUGGAAAACAUGGGAAGGCACUUGAGAAGUCUGACUAUGAAGCAGAGAUAGGACUGUGGUCAGAUACAAAUAUGAGAAGCAGAUUUCUUCUGAUGAGAAUGGUGUGUUCAACUGUCCAUGCAAAGAGCCAAUGGAGAAAGAGAGGAAAAAUACAGACCAAGUAACAACAGACUCCAUGAGAGAACGAGAGGAGAUAGGAUUGCAGCACAUGUUGAAUAACUGGCCUUUAAUAAGAGGAGGGAUUCUUCCUGUACAGGAAGAGGAGGGAUGAAGUGAAUGCAGAUGCAUUUGUGUACAUGGGUAUCAUGGUUUUUUUUUCCCCUGUGAAGUAAUCAGUUAGGGGGUGAAAGGGGCUUUAGAGGGAAAGGGGUUUGAAAUAGUUACAGAAGGAUUGAAGAGAAACACAUUAACAUUGUUGGCAGUACUGACAGCCUAACUCAAUGUGCUGAGCAUGAAUUUACAGUGAUAAAAAUCUACCAGAAACGACCUCCAGCUGCAAGGAUGCAGAAGCAGUGUUGGGUUCAUCCAGGGCUGGUAUUUUGCCAGGCUGACACAAUAGAGCAGCAGCAUACAUGAGCUUAAAUUAUUUACAUCUGCUGAAGUCUAGUCCGCCAAAGAUCACCAGGCUCAAGCCUGUCUUCUGACAAAACCAUUUAUUGAUUUGCAAGCAAGGGAACCAGAAGCAGCAAAGAUGGUGCAUUCCACAAGAGGGCAGGGGGUGCCAUCUUUGGUAAGGUUUGGGUUCCCAGUGUAGGGUUCUGAGCAAGCUAUAAGGGAAAGGAGACCAGUUCUGGGUUGGAUGCUAUUUCUGUAGCAAGAUUAGAUGUGAGAAUUAACUAGAGAUUGGUGCUGCAAUGAGGUGAGGGCAAGUUUAGCAACUGGAUAUCCCCAGUAGUAGAUGGGUUAUAGCAAAAUAGGUCUAAGGGUGUCACAGCCAACAAAGCAGUGGUCACAUGAGGGAGUCAUGAUGGUAUUUUAUAGCUGCUGCAGGACCUAACAGUUUCAUGUUAACUUUGCAGCUGCCUUGCCUGUCCCCCUGACAGUGGUGGAGCUUUUUUUUUCAGUUUGAGCCACUUUGAGUCCUAGAGUUUACUUUCAUACCAAACAUCCUCCUCUCAUUAAAUGUGAAUGAUUUUUCCCCCUAAAGUACAACUUAAUCCAUAUGCAUCUGUCCUCUCUAAAGAUUUAAUGAAAUACCUAAUUAUAGAAUUAAGCUUGCUUUCUGGCAAGACCCAGCCUAGAGUGAACGUUAAGUUUUAGACCAUCCCCUAAAUCACCAAAGCCCAAAUCCUACCACAGAUUCUAACACACUCUUACUGAUGCACCCCACAACUCCCACAAGGUGUAUGUUCUCCUUUACUGCAACAAUAAGCUCAGGCCGGGCGAGGUGGCUCACGCCUGUAAUCCCAGCACUUUGGGAGGCCGAGGUGGGCAGAUCAUCUGAGAUUGGGAGCUUGAGGCCAACCUGGCCAACAUGGCGAAACCCCGUCUCUACUAAAAAUACAAAAUUAGCCGGGCAUGGUGGUGCGUGCCUGUAAUCCCAGCUACUUGGGAGGCUGAGGCAGAAUUGCUUGAACCCGGGAGGCAGAGGUUGAGGUGAGCUGAGAUCACGCCACUGCACUCCAGCCUGGGCAACAAGAACAAUACUCUGCCUCAAAAAACAAACAAACAAACAAAAAAAAAAACAAAACCCAGUAAGCUCAACAUGUUCAGGUACAGUGUGUUCCUGGUAGUCUAUGGCUGGAGAGCAUUAACAACAUAAAGACAGAGGGUCAGAGUUGAUGACAACUUCUAGGUUAAGACCAAUAUUUGUGGUUUUUUUUUUUUUUUUGCCAGAACGCAAGACUAUAUUUACUAGCAGCUCUGUGUCCUUGCUCAUUGGAAAAUGAUCUUUCCUCAAGACUUGCUGACACGUUUCUGUUUAAGGCAUGACAAUCCUAAAGGCCAACAAUUGUGGACGGGGGCAACUCUUCCUUUCAUUAUGUACUGGUGUAGUCAAUUAUGCAAAGUCUGGUCAACCAAAGACCACCAGGCUCAAGCCAUCAGUUUUAAAAUAUGGCCACAUGCUCCUUGAUGGCCUAUGUGAUAUGGCUUUAGUAACUCCCUUAGGACCAAGAGAAUAUAAUGGAACUAAUGCUGUGUAACUUCCAAAUGCAGCUGCUUUCUGGGUCUUUUGAAAUGGCCCUUCAGAAUCCAGGCAACAUGCUGUGAGAAGUUCAAGCUACAUGGACAAGUGUAGAUGGUUCUGGUGAACGAUUCCAAUCUAGUCUUGGCUUUAAAAGUCAUCUCAGUACCAUGAAUUCAGAUGAUUAUAGCUCUCAGAUAUUCAAAUUACCCUCAGCCCUUAGUUUUCCUUGCCUAGGCCUCAGACAUCAUAGAAUAAAGCCAUCCCCAUUGUGCCCUCUCCAAGUUCCUGAACUAUAGAGUCCAUGAGCAUAAUAAAAUGAUUGUUUUAAGAUGCUAGAUUUCUGUGCUUUUUUUAUUAAGCAUAAUACCGGGAACAGAUAUUGAUCUUGUCGGUAGCUACUGUGAGUAGAGCAGUAGUUGGUGACAAUGAGCUAGUAGACAAAUACUGGACAGUUAUUCACAGAGCAGCUGCUAGAAGUUUCAAGUAUAUGCAGUUAGCAUUCCUUGUCCCUGGUCUAAUGUACCAUCUCUUCUCUACACCUCCUCUCCCUCCAAUAUUUAUAGUCAGUGCUAUCUUUAGAGAACUGCAGAUUAUGUUAAUAGCUGCCAUGUUACAGGAGCCAUUUUGAAAAACAUUUCUUACUACAACUUCCAAAAACCACAAUUACGUACAUUAUUUCCUUUAUAGAAGGAAUUUUAAAGUUUUAAUGUUUUAUAUUUGCUAGUUUU
rnacentral:lncRNA from 1 species